rnacentral:lncRNA from 1 species
GCGGUAUACAAGAAGUAUUAGAAUCAAGGCAUGCAAUUAAAGUUUUUAAUGCUCAAAAAGAAUUUUGCACCGGCGAAGAUUUAGAUGCCCCCUUCGAGACACUUUCUGAUGAAACAAAAUGUUUUAUUCCUCAGGAUAAUUUGAAGAAUAUCUCCUACUUAUUUGGAUCACUUCAAAAGACAAAUCUACCAAAGGGAUCGCCACAAAUUACUUUUGAGGUGAUCAAGAGCUAUACUACACAUUUGAACACCGUAGAAAAGGUAUUGAUACUUGAUGACAAGACAGUUUGGAUUUCAAACGUGUUCCUCUGUUUACGUAAAAUAAACAUUGAUUUAACAAUCAAAACUAUAAAAG